UUCUGGACUGUUUCAUCAGACGAGCACUGAGAGGCAGAGCCCUUUCCUCAGCAUGAGAAUUGUUCAGCACAGGGUUAGGAAAUCUUCCUUCCUGGAGGGCUUUAUAAGCAGAGAGAUUCUCAUCCUUCUGGGGCUGUGUGGGGCAGACUUCCGUCUGGAGAUGCUUCUCAAGGACUACAUGUGUACAACAACCAACAACACAGGAGCAUAUGGGAGCUCUGGAGAAGGCAGAAGGCUGCCCGGCAUUGAACCCUCGCUCACUGAACAAUGCAGCUUCGCAAUCAUCAUCCUUGUUUCCACACUCUGCUUUGGGCUCCCCCUUCACCUCAGCCUCUCCUGCCCUCAGCCUUAAUAACAUGUGACACUUGGCACCAGAACGACAGAACCAUGGAGGAGCUCCACUCUGUCUCUGAUGCGCUGUGUUUCUUUAAGUGCUCUUGUUAAUGUUUCAUGAUGGAUGGCGGUGAGACCUGGGAAA